GGGAAUGUAGCUCAGUGGUAGAACACUGGCCUAGCCUGCCAGAGGUCCUGGGUUCAACACCCAGCCCCA
rnacentral:tRNA from 1 species